rnacentral:rRNA from 1 species
UACGUAGGGGGCAAGCGUUAUCCGGAUUUACUGGGUGUAAAGGGAGCGUAGACGGAAUUGCAAGUCUGAUGUGAAAAUCCGGGGCCCAACCCCGGAACUGCUUUGGAAACUGUGCGGCUCGAGUGCGGGAGAGGUAGGCGGAAUUCCUAGUGUAGCGGUGAAAUGCGUAGAUAUUAGGAGGAACACCAGUGGCGAAGGCGGCUUGCUGGACAGUAACUGACGUUGAGGCUCGAAAGCGUGGGGAGCAAACAGG